AGGUUCUUGGUAGGGUGGAUGCUGGCCUGCUGACCAUGACCAUGACUCAUGACAUUGUUAGUUACACCUGUGUUUUUCCUGCCAUGGCGAGUCAAAAUAUCUUCUGAUCAAGGUGGGGCUAGAGCCAAUCCCAGCUGUCCUAGGGUGCAAGACACAAAAGUUCCUGGAAGGUGGGAAAAAGCUGGAGUACCUGGAGAAGACCUCCACACAGAAAGCAACUAUGAUCCUCGGGGAGCUGCACAGCCACCAGAACUGAAGGGCUUCAACCAAUGACGAGGCAGGAACGGAGAAGCCCCGAGGCUAGUGAGGAGUCAAGUCUGUCCUCCUUUGCUUUGCUGUUCCUGUGGGGGAACACAUUUUGUCUUCCAUAGAAGGCCUGGAACUGUGUACUAUGGACAAAGGACAAACUGUAUGAAGGGUUUUUCAUUCAAUACAGAGAAUGUGAUGUGAUCUACAUGAUUAGUUGUUCCGCCUGGUUAAAGUCCACCAACAUCAGCAGGGCAUGAAACCCUCCUGCCUCUUUGCCCUUCAUGGAACAUAGAUUUAUAUACACUACAUUGUCUUUUAACUUUAUCACAUGGCAGCAACUCAGUGCAGAUGUGGUAAACGACCUGCUAAAGUUCAAAUCGAACAUCAGAAUGGGGAAGAAAGAUAAAUUGAGCGACUUUUAAUGUUGCUUGGUGUUUGGUGUCCAACUGGGAUUUUUCCACUCAACUAUCUCUAUGGUUUACAGAGAAUGGUCUAGGAAAAAAGAGAGGAAAAAUCCAGUGAGCAGCAGUUCUCUGGGUGAAAAAGUAUUGUUGAGGUCAGAGGUCAGAGAAUGGCCAGACCGCUUCGAGCUGAUAGGAAGGCAACAGUUACUCAGAUAACCACUUGUAACAACACGUUGACCCUUGAAGCAGAUGGGCUACAAUAGCCCACACUAGGUGCUAUUCCUCACAACUGAGAACAGAAAACUGAGGCUACAAUUCACACAACUUCACCAAAACUGGAAAAUAAGGUUGAAAAAAUGUUGCCCGAGUCUCAAUUUCUGCUGUGACAUUCUCAUGGAGGGUCAGGAUUUGUUGUAAACAACAUGCAUCCUGCCUUAAUCAACAGUUCAGGCUGCUGGUGGUCUAACAGCGUGUGGGAUAUUUUCUUGGCACACUUCGAGCUCCUUAAUGCCAACUGAGCAUCAUUUUAACACCACAGCUUUCCUGAGUGUUUUUCCUGACCAGAUCCACAGCGUACCCAUCUUCUGAUGACUACUGAUGUCACAAAGUGCCAAUCAUCUCAAACUGGUUUCUUAAACAUCACAAUAGAGCACCUCUAGGAUGUGGUGGAAUGGGAGAUUUUCACAAUGGACGGGUGAUGCAUGUAUGAUGUUCUCACAUCAAUAUGGACCAUAUGGACAAUAUAGAUCUGAGGAAUGUUUCUGGCACCUUGUUAACUCCAUGCGAUAAAGAAUUAAAGGCAAAAGGGUGACCAACCCAAUAAUAGCAAGGUGUUCCUAUUAGUGUCCUGUUACCUCUCCCCUGUUCAGAGAAAUAAAAUGUAUCAAAUUAAAAGUCUAUCAUCUGCUGCCAUCUGCAGGACUUUCUGAGAAUUACCUUUAAAACUGCUACCUCCACAACUAGAUUUUUCUCAGUUCAGCUUCUAUAAGGAUAACUAAAGAAUUAAAGUUUAAAAUGACCACAAAGCUGAUUGCAGGGGCUGAAGCAAUGGGUCCAAUUAUUUUACAUUGCAUUGAGGAUGGCUGCAUGGCGCUAUGAGUUCAAGAUCUAAAAAGGACUACCUGAAAUGA